CUAAGUCUUAAUCAUUAAGAGGUAUUCUUGUGUUAGAUAAUAUUCACCACCACUCUAUCCAUAAUCAUCAGUCACCAUCACUAACGACCUCUGCCAUCACCACCAUUGUCAACCACCACCACCACCAACUACCUCCACCAUUACAACCACCACUUUGCCACCAAUCACUAUUACCACCAACCACCUCCACCCUUACAACCAUCAUUCACAAUCAUAAUUUCUACUAACCACUAUUUUCAGUCGUUACCAUAUCUACCACCUCUAUUAUUUUAAUUGUAUCUGCCGUUAUCACCAUCGUCAACACCAAUGCCAAUACCUGCAACAUCACCACCAUCAUCAACCAUUAUUGGUCAAUCUCAACUACUAACCAACUUAUCUAUCACAACUAGCGUCACCAUUAACUACCACUAACACAUCAUCAGCAUCCACACAUUCUUUGGCCACCACCACCGUUGUCACCGAUGUCGUGACCUCUACCAUCGCUUCAACCACUUUCACUGCUAUAGUAUAUCUCCAUUAAUAAUCAUCUCCACCAUCAAAACUAACAACAUCUCCAAUUACUACCAACAAAUCGUCAACCAUUAUGCAUUCAAUUUUAAGCUAUCACAAUCAACACCUCUAACGACUAACAUCAACCAACUUCACAUCACUACCAUCACCACUACCAAUCGCCACCAUUGUAAUAGUCACUACAAUACCAAGCAUUUCUAUCAUCACAGCUAUCACCAUCAACAUUACUAAUCACUACAUCAAUCAUUACUACCACCACCAU
rnacentral:lncRNA from 1 species